GGUGGCUCAGUGGUAGAGUGCUUGCCUUGCAUGCAUGAGGCCCUGGGUUUGAUUCCUGGGCACCA
rfam:Dipodomys ordii contig_64668, whole genome shotgun sequence.